rnacentral:rRNA from 1 species
AUUGAACGCUGGCGGCAUGCUUUACACAUGCCAGUCGAACGGUAACAGCACUUCGGUGGCUGACGAGUGGCGAACGGGUGAGUAAUACAUCGGAACGUGCCUAGUAGUGGGGGAUAACUACUCGAAAGAGUAGCUAAUACCGCAUGAGAUCUAAGGAUGAAAGCAGGGGACCUUCGGGCCUUGCGCUACUAGAGCGGCUGAUGGCAGAUUAGGUAGUUGGUGGGAUAAAAGCUUACCAAGCCGACGAUCUGUAGCUGGUCUGAGAGGACGACCAGCCACACUGGGACUGAGACACGGCCCAGACUCCUACGGGAGGCAGCAGUGGGGAAUUUUGGACAAUGGGCGCAAGCCUGAUCCAGCAAUGCCGCGUGCAGGAUGAAGGCCUUCGGGUUGUAAACUGCUUCUGUACGGAACGAAAAGCCCUCUUCUAAUACAGGAGGGUCAUGACGGUACCGUAAGAAUAAGCACCGGCUAACUACGUG